GCGAGAAAACUUUGCAAUGUGCGAAAGCACGACAAGGUUAAUCCGAGUGGUUUCUGCUAAAGAAACCUUUUGCUAGUCCUAGAAACACUAGUGAAUAAGGGGUGGGCAAGUUCUGGUGUCAGCCGCCGCGGUAAAACCAGCACCUCAAGUGGUCAGGAUGAUUAUUGGGCCUAAAGCAUCCGUAGCUCGUUUUGUAAGUUUUCGGUUAAAUCCAUACGCUUAACGUAUGGGCUGCCGGGAAUACUGCAUAACUAGGAAGUGGGAGAGGUAGACGGUACUCGGUAGGAAGGGGUAAAAUCCUUUGAUCUAUUGAUGACCACCUGUGGCGAAGGCGGUCUACCAGAACACGUUCGACGGUGAGGGAUGAAAGCUGGGGGAGCAAACCGGAUUAGAUACCCGGGUAGUCCCAGCUGUAAACUAUGCAAACUCAGUGAUGCAUUGGCUUGUGGCCAAUGCAGUGCUGCAGGGAAGCCGUUAAGUUUGCCGCCUGGGAAGUACGUACGCAAGUAUGAAACUUAA
rnacentral:rRNA from 1 species